GCCUAACACAUGCAAGUCGAGCGGAAACGAGUUAUCUGAACCUUCGGGGAACGAUAACGGCGUCGAGCGGCGGACGGGUGAGUAAUGCCUAGGAAAUUGCCCUGAUGUGGGGGAUAACCAUUGGAAACGAUGGCUAAUACCGCAUAAUGCCUACGGGCCAAAGAGGGGGACCUUCGGGCCUCUCGCGUCAGGAUAUGCCUAGGUGGGAUUAGCUAGUUGGUGAGGUAAGGGCUCACCAAGGCGACGAUCCCUAGCUGGUCUGAGAGGAUGAUCAGCCACACUGGAACUGAGACACGGUCCAGACUCCUACGGGAGGCAGCAGUGGGGAAUAUUGCACAAUGGGCGCAAGCCUGAUGCAGCCAUGCCGCGUGUGUGAAGAAGGCCUUCGGGUUGUAAAGCACUUUCAGUCGUGAGGAAGGUAGUGUAGUUAAUAGCUGCAUUAUUUGACGUUAGCGACAGAAGAAGCACCGGCUAACUCCGUGCCAGCAGCCGCGGUAAUACGGAGGGUGCGAGCGUUAAUCGGAAUUACUGGGCGUAAAGCGCAUGCAGGUGGUUUGUUAAGUCAGAUGUGAAAGCCCGGGGCUCAACCUCGGAAUUGCAUUUGAAACUGGCAGACUAGAGUACUGUAGAGGGGGGUAGAAUUUCAGGUGUAGCGGUGAAAUGCGUAGAGAUCUGAAGGAAUACCGGUGGCGAAGGCGGCCCCCUGGACAGAUACUGACACUCAGAUGCGAAAGCGUGGGGAGCAAACAGGAUUAGAUACCCUGGUAGUCCACGCCGUAAACGAUGUCUACUUGGAGGUUGUGGCCUUGAGCCGUGGCUUUCGGAGCUAACGCGUUAAGUAGACCGCCUGGGGAGUACGGUCGCAAGAUUAAAACUCAAAUGAAUUGACGGGGGCCCCGCACAAGCGGUGGAGCAUGUGGUUUAAUUCGAUGCAACGCGAAGAACCUUACCUACCUCUUGACAUCCAGAGAACUUUCCAGAGAUGGAUUGGUGCUUCCGGGAACUCUGAGACAGGUGCUGCAUGGCUGUCGUCAGCUCGUGUUGUGAAAUUGUUGGGUUAAGUCCCGCAACGAGCGCAACCCUUAUCCUUGUUUGCCAGCGUAUCGGGUCGGAACUCCAGGGAACUGCCGGUGAUAAACCGAAGGAAGGUGGGAACGACUUCAAGUCAUCAUGGCCCUUACGAGUAUGGCUACACACGUCAUGCCUAACAAUGGCGCCAUACAGAGGUGCGGCCAAGUCUGUAUCGAUGAAUGCACUCGAUCUUGAGAGUGCGAAACCGCUAGUAAUCCUGGAUCAAAAUGCCACGGUGAAUACGUUCCCGGGCCUAGUACACCCCGCCCGUCACACCAUCGGAGUGGGCUGCAACUCGAAGUAAGUAGCCU
rnacentral:rRNA from 1 species